rnacentral:lncRNA from 1 species
UUCCGUGUAAGUGUUGCUACUUUUCUAAAUCAAUUAAAAUAAAACAUGCUCCAGCAAAAGAAAAGAAAAUAUGUGUGUUGCACUCUUCCAGCAAUCAAAUCACCGUGUUGAACUACCCAUAAUCCAUCACCGUUUUUCUCCCCAAAAAAAGUUCAGCUCUCACCAAAAAUCAAAAGAAAGAGUAAAUGUGCACAUUUCAUUCAACCAAUGCAAAGCAGCGUAAUUUUUCCAAGCUCUCUCCUCUCAAACACGUUUAAAGAAAAAGCCUAAAAGAAAAGGAAAUGAGUGUGGUUGUUGGAAGGUACGUAAGGCUGUGAGCUUUCCCUUCUCAUUCAUCCAAAAUCACCUAAUAAAACCAUUUUUCCAGAGAAAACCCGUGCCUAGUGAAGUGUGUCGGUUGUGUCUUUACAGCCAAUAUAACAGUCUUUUUCUCUAGUGUGGCGGCUGACGUUUUUAAGGAAGCAAUCCUGAGACUCUCUAUGUUACCCUACUGCCAGCAUGGAUUGGCUAGACCUACCCUUCAAUUCUUUUCUUCGAGAACAUCCUCUUUUUGCUGGAUGCAACCCCAUCAUGUACUGGACUGGGUGGAAAAUGUUGGAGCAGAAGUUUAGUUGUGUGCGUGGAGGUGUGAAGACUGCUGGACCGUGGCUUCAUGGGCUGCUGCUGUCUUCAAAACCUGCUGGACCAGUUGCAACCAAGGCUCGCUGGUGGGUGUAGGGCCAUGAACGUGCUGCAAUCCUUAAGCAUCUGGAUGAAGAAAAAUCAAUGGGUUACUGCUGUGUGCAUGACUAAAAGUUUGGGCGUUGCAGCUUCUUCUUGAAGCACCCUUUGUUGCCACCGUGGUGCUUGCGGGAUGGAUGUUUCUUUGUUGUUGUUGGGCCGUGUUUGUUCCUUCACGGGUUGUAGCUGAACGUGGAGCCUUGGAUUGAAGAAUGGAGUUGGUGGAUGCACCUCCCAAAUCCAAGCAUACACCUCCUUGGCAGCUGCAGCUGGAUCUCUUCCCUUUGGGUCGUGGACUACUUCUCCAAGAUUCAUUGCUCAUGCCUAAUGCUGGAUGCUGGACCUGCAGGAUGUGCAACCAUUUUAUAUGAUGUUCAACUCUUUAAUUCCUUGUUGGACCGUGGUAUAUUUUUUCUUCAGCCCGUGAGCCUCACUUCUGUUCCAGCUCUUUCCAAUUGAAGCAAAAAUAAUUCAAUCCGCGGGCCCUGUAACAGCAUGCAACAGCGUGUUGAUUUUCCAUGCCUUGUUGGAUUGUGUGUGGGACGCUGCACCUCCUUUGCUUAGGCCAUGAUUUGCUUUUUUCUUCUAUCAUCCCAAAUGUGUGUUGCUACUGUGUGCACCUUUAGCUCCUCUCUAAGCGUGUUGUUGCCCAAGCCUCAUGGGUCCCAAAAUUGAAGAAUGGAUGACCGCUUGACCAGUGACACAAAUGAAACCAACUCUAUAUUAAUCAACAUUAUUAAUCACGUGUUGCCC